UACAGAGGGUGCAAGCGUUAAUCGGAAUUACUGGGCGUAAAGCGUGCGUAGACGGUAGCGUAAGUCGGGUGUGAAAGCCCCGGGCUCAACCUGGGAAUUGCAUUCGAGACCGCUCUGCUAGGGUGCGGAAGAGGGAAGCGGAAUUUCCGGUGUAGCGGUGAAAUGCGUAGAUAUCGGAAGGUACACCAGUGGCGAAAGCGGCUUCCUGGUCCAGCACCGACGUUCAGGCACGAAAGCGUGGGGAGCAAACAGG
rnacentral:rRNA from 1 species